GCCGGUGUAGCUCAGUGGUAGAGCAACUGUCUUGUAAACAGUAGGUCGUCGGUUCGAUCCCGACCACCGGCU
rnacentral:tRNA from 2 species